rnacentral:rRNA from 1 species
UGUGCCUACGGGACGCAGCAGUGAGGAAUAUUGGUCAAUGGCCGAGAGGCUGAACCAGCCAAGUCGCGUGAGGGAAGAAUGUCCUAUGGAUUGUAAACCUCUUUUGUCGGGGAGCAAAUUCCGUUACGUGUAACGGAGUCGAGAGUACCCGAAGAAAAAGCAUCGGCUAACUCCGUGCCAGCAGCCGCGGUAAUACGGAGGAGGCGAGCGUUAUCCGGAUUUAUUGGGUUUAAAGAGUGCGUAGGCGGACUGUCAAGUCAGCGGUAAGAGACGGGGGCGCAACCUCCGCCCGCCGUUGACACUGA